rnacentral:ncRNA from 10 species
GUACUGAAUCGUGAUGGGGAAUAAUGUGAAAUUCAUUAGCUGUACCUGCAACGGUGAAAAAAAAGUCCGAGUGCCAUCCAGUAUAGUCCGCUGUUGAGUGAAGGCCAGGAAAAGUCUAGCUCUACGAUUAUUAA